rnacentral:rRNA from 1 species
CACGGGGGUUGCGAGCGUUGUCCGGAAUUACUGGGCGUAAAGGGUGCGUAGGUGGUUUCUUAAGUCGGAGGUGAAAGGCUACGGCUCAACCGUAGUAAGCCUUUGAAACUGGGAAACUUGAGUACAGGAGAGGAGAGUGGAAUUCCUAGUGUAGCGGUGAAAUGCGUAGAUAUUAGGAGGAACACCAGUUGCGAAGGCGGCUCUCUGGACUGUAACUGACACUGAGGCACGAAAGCGUGGGGAGCAAACAGGAUUAGAUACCCCUGUAGUCCCUGAGCGGGCUGG